CCAGACUCCUACGGGAGGCAGCAGUCGGGAAUAUUGCACAAUGGAGGGAACUCUGAUGCAGUGACGCCGCGUGCAGGAAGAAGGUUUUCGGAUUGUAAACUGCUUUAGAUAGGGAAGAAGAAAAGACAGUACCUAUAGAAUAAGCUCCGGCUAACUACGUGCCAGCAGCCGCGGUAAUACGUAGGGAGCGAGCGUUAUCCGGAAUUAUUGGGUGUAAAGGGUGCGUAGACGGGAACUUAAGUUAGUUGUGAAAUCCCUUAGCUCAACUAAGGAAUGGCAACUGAAACUGGGUUUCUUGAGUGCAGGAGAGGAAAGUGGAAUUCCUAGUGUAGCGGUGGAAUGCGUAGAUAUUAGGAGGAACACCGGUGGCGAAGGCGACUUUCUGGACUGUAACUGACGUUGAGGCACGAAAGUGUGGGGAGCAAACAGGAUUAGAUACCCCCGUA
rnacentral:rRNA from 1 species